GAUGAACGCUAGCGGCAGGCUUAAUACAUGCAAGUCGAGGGGUAGCAAGAUUGUAGCAAUACAAUUGUUGACGACCGGCAAACGGGUGCGGAACACGUACACAACCUUCCUACAAGUGGGGAAUAGCCCAGAGACAUUUGGAUUAAUACCCCGUAACAUAGCGAUGUGGCAUCACAUUGCUAUUAUAGCUUCGGCGCUUGUUGAUGGGUGUGCGGCUGAUUAGAUAGUUGGCGGGGUAACGGCCCACCAAGUCUACGAUCAGUAGCUGAUGUGAGAGCAUGAUCGGCCACACUGGCACUGAGACACGGGCCCGACUCCUACGGGAGGCAGCAGUAAGGAAUAUUGGAAAAUGGACGCAAGUCUGUUCCAGCCUUGCCGCGUGAAGGAUUAAGGUCCUCUGGAUUGUAAACUUCUUUUAUAAGGGGCGAAAAAAGGUCUUUCUAGAUCGUCUGACGGUACCUUAUGAAUAAGCACCGGCUAACUCCGUGCCAGCCGCCGCCGUAAAAC
rnacentral:rRNA from 1 species